rnacentral:misc_RNA from 1 species
AAAAUCAAUCAAGAGGUGUCGAUCGGGAUUCGAAAAAGGCGAGCCAAUUACAUGGUAUUACCGGAGAAUCGGCGUCCUCUUUUUUCCACCGAAAUAGAGGAAACGAUCUAAAGACGAUUCGGCCUUGAGUGUUGACAGUUAUACGAAGGCACGUCACAAAGUGAGUGGCCACUUGAACGUUGCUCGUGGACGACGAAACCCGGACGACGAUUCUCGAAAGCGUGUAAUUCGAUUAGCAUUACGACGUACUUGUUCUGCCGUCAGACAGUUCCAACAUCUCCCGAAAGACCUCUGCGCGACCCAGCUGGCAGGCGAGCGUCAAUGGGGUCAGUCCGGCGGCAUUCACGAUCCCAUUGCGAGCAGGAAGCUUCGGAUGACGGAGGGCAUACCCGAACAUGUCCUGCGUUAUACAGCCGUGCUAUUGUACUCGAUUUAGCGGAAAUCUUUCUCGAUGGUCCAAGAAAAACAGACCAGUACGCUGUGUGGUCUCUUGUUUAAGAUGGUAUUCGUCUGCGUUGGGUCAGUGAUAUCGAUUUUUCUCUCUUUUUUUAUAUAUUCGUUGCAAGUAAAUAGCGGAUAGAAUGUUCGUGCACGAUAUUGUAAUAUUAGAUACGUAACAUAACAAUGAAAUAAGCGAUGAAGAUAAAAAAAUGAAAAUGAAUAUUAUGAAAAAACUUGCGAUAUUGAUUGUGUUACGGGGGUUGAAAAAAA